GGGCCCGCACAAGCGGUGGAGUAUGUGGUUUAAUUCGAUGCAACGCGAAGAACCUUACCUGGCCUUGACAUGCAUCUCUAAGUGUGUGAAAGCACAUGACCCCUCGGGGAAUUUGCACAGGUGCUGCAUGGCUGUCGUCAGCUCGUGUCGUGAGAUGUUGGGUUAAGUCCCGCAACGAGCGCAACCCACGUCUUUAGUUGCCAGCAUUUAGUUGGGCACUCUAGAGAGACUGCCGGUGAUAAACCGGAGGAAGGUGUGGAUGACGUCAAGUCCUCAUGGCCCUUACGGGUUGGGCUACACACGUGCUACAAUGGCAUCUACAGUGGGUUAAUCCCCAAAAGAUGUCUCAGUUCGGAUUGUCGUCUGCAACUCGACGGCAUGAAGUCGGAAUCGCUAGUAAUCGC
rnacentral:rRNA from 1 species